CUCGUUUCAAAGCUGAAAUUAGUUUCUCAAAGAACGUCAAUUGGGAAAAUCUAGUAAGUUUAUUGUAGUAAUUUAUACUUGCUUCCCGAUGGAGUUCCCUCCCAUACAAUCCAAAAACACCCAGUCACAACCAAAAUCUCCCAUGUUGGUCGUUGCAAUUGACAGCCAUAAGGAUCCCACCGGACGACCUAAACCCACCGGCCUCAUGCCACAAAUUGACUGCCAAAUCGGCCAUAAACCACAAGCGUAGGCGGCAAUCCUAGAUGGGAACCCUAGCACCGUCGCCCAAAAUUUUUGCUGCGAUUGAAGGCGCACAUCAUAGGUCCUACACUGUUGCUACAGAAGCCGACAAAAAUGGUGGAAGAAAAGGAAUUUCUGAAGAGGUUGAAGAGGAAUGCUCAGGGAACUCGAUCCUGAUUACCCAUGACUGACAUUUUUUAGGUAGAAGCACCUGAUCGGCUGUUCGUACAAGUCACUCCACCAUCGGAGAGACAAUGGCGUGUAGGACACUCACUUAGACAGUAUGAUGGUGUUUAAUUCCUGUAUCAGAGUAGAGGUAAAGGAGUUCACAGUGUCUGUUAGUAACUCCGGUACUGUUAUGUUGACGGAAUGGGGCUCGAAGAUAUCAAACGCAAUUUGCAUAGGACGAUUUGGUGCACUUUGGAUGGUGAAUAUGGUGGAUAAAUUGAGAGUGGUUGGUAAUUAGGAAAAUUUUGUCACUAAGUUUAACGAGUCAUCAAGAGCUUAUUUAGCACAACGUUGUGCGAACAGUCGUGAUAGGUAUUUGACUAUAGCAUAGUAUGAAGAGAGACAUCGGAAAGGAGUUUGUGAUGGUGUAAAAAAGUACGAAUGGAGCGGAAUGGGCAUUAGUUUCAUGAGUGUUUCAAGCAGUUGUAAACUCAUUUGUUGCUGGAGACAAAGCCAAACGUCGAAUGGUGGACGAAAGAAAUCGACAAGGGAUGACUUAUACUGAUGUUACGACAAACUUACAGGCUUCGUACAAUGUCGAUCAAUGGGUGCUACUGCAAAAGGAGAGGGUGGUUAAUGUGAGCAACCCUCAACAAACGGUGCAUAAGUUUGUAGAAGCAAAUGCAAAAGGUACACAUGUUAGUUUUUUGAAUAUUGUUGAAGUAAGAGCCCAUGUCUAGGUGUUGAAAGUGGAAUUGGAUAAGUUAAUUAGGCUAGUGGAAAGUGGGUUCGAAGUAGGCUCCAAACUGAUUUGUUGUCAUAAAUGUGGAGUGGGCAUGGAGGAGUCUCCAAUCAACGGACAACAAUUACCUAGUUUGGUUCCUAAGGAGUUAUCAUCAAAAUUGGCCCAAACUGAAGAAAAGCAAGUGAUAAUUGAGCCCAUUUGUGAGUAUCAAGCAUGAAUUGAAGCGAUGUAUUCCGUAAAUGAUGAUAGGGUCGAUGUAGUGGGAUUGGAUAAAGAUGAUAAAGAUUCGAGGAUUGAAGCAGAUCAGGAGGUGGAACUUUGGUCUAAGUAAUGGGAGCCGAGUAUGGCUAAUCCGGAGUCGAUGACAUUGGACGCGAUGGACAUGUUUCUUUCAAUAGAGGGAUUAGUGUUGAAUGAGCAACAAAUGGGACAUGUACUGCAAAGGAGUUAGUUUGGACAAUUGUGAAGGAGAACGAGGAAACAUGUUCAACAAUUAUGGUGGUGAAAACUUACAAUAUGAGGCAUUUUAAGUAUUUACAAGAAUGGAUUUAGAGACUGAAAAAGCUCUGGUGGUAUGGGUUGAUGGCGCAGAGAAGUGAAAAUAGUCAAUGGUUUAGCACUAGUGGAAAAAGUGGAGGGACAUAUCUUUGAUCCUUUGAAUGCGAUUGCAGUUAGGCCUCCACCUUCAAAUUGGGUUUUAAAAAAAAAAAAAUUCAAGAUUUCAGCAAGAUGGUUGGUGUGUCAUGUGAUGAUAUGAAAGUAGAUUAUUGCAACUAUUUGAGGAACUAGAGACUAGAAGGGAACAAGUGAUGAGUACACAAUGAGGUAAAUCAAGAAGAAAGGGAAAUCGUGAACUUAGACGGCUCGAAUGGUCAGUAAAUAAUGACAUUAAGGGUGAAGGGUCAAAGAAAGGAUUGUCGAAGAGGGAUGAUAGUCUGCAAAAUUAAUCCUAAAAAUCAUAAGCUAGAAUGUGAGGGGGCUUAAUAAUGUGGGGAAAAUGUUAGAUGUUUGAAAUCCGGUAAGGGGAUGGAGGACGGUCCUUGUCUCUUUACAAGAAACUAAGAUGAAGUUUAUCUUGAGGGCUGUGUUAGCAGCUUAUGGGGGAACAGCAUGUAAGGUAUAAAUUUUAGGGCCUUCGCGAGCUUCAAGAGGUGUGCUAGUCAUGUAUGAUAAGUUCUCUAUACAGAGAAAGUCAAUGUAGGAUAAGUUCUCUAUAUGGAGUCAGUCAGUUUAUGGUUAUUCUCUAUAUCGCUUUCACUUAGAAAUAUUGAGGAUAGAUUCCAGUGAAUGUUUAUAGGAGUUUAUGAUCCCAUUGCUAAUGAAAGUGGAGGGGGCUUGUGGGAUAAGUUGGCUGGUAUGAUGGCUUGGUGGAAUCUCCCAACAUAUAUUGGGGGUGAUUUUAAUGUGGUUUAAUUUCCUAUUGAGAGGUCUAGUGGUGGGAGGCUAACAUGCUCAGACUUUAUUAGCGGGAAUAUGUUGGUGGAUUUGUCCAUGAUUAUGGAGAUUUUACUUGGUUAUCUAAUCAGAAUCAACGUGUUCAAUCUCGAAUAGACCAGUUCUUAGUCAGUGGAGAAUGGGAGGCUAAGUACUCAGGUGUUGCUCAAGAGGGGAUUAGGGAAUGUGUACUCUAAUCAUUUUCCUAUUUCGUUAUCUAGAAAUAUGAGGGUUAGUGGAAGAAAGCCUUUUAGGUUUGAGAAGAAGUUGUUAAAAGUCGAAGGUUUUGAGGAGCGUGUAUGGACUUAGUUGGCCACUUAUGAUUUCCAGGGGUCUCCCAGUUAUGUGUUGGAUCAAAAGUUGAAGGCUUUAAAAUGAGAUUUAAAGAGAUUGAAUGAGCAGGUGGUAGGCAAUCUAAAAUGGCGUAAAAAUAGGUGUUUUCUAGGCAUGAAAGAGUUAGAUAGGCGAGAGGAGAGUCGAUGGUUAGUUGGGGAGGAGAGAGGGAGAUAUAGCGUUAAGGGAAGAGUUGGAGAGAUUAGUGUAGAUGGAGGAGAUUGCUUUGUGCCAGAAUUGAAAGAGAGAGACAAAUGCAUCAAGUUUUUCCAUAGGAUCGCAAAUUUUAAUAGGCGCAACAAUUUUAUCACAUUGUUGGAGAUAGAUGAGGUUACUUAUGAGGAUCCACAUGAUAUUGGGACCUAAAAUUGUGAGAUUCUAUCAAAAUCUUUAUCGGGAAUAGUUUAAGUAGAGCUCAGAGUUGGAGUGACUGAAUUUUUCUACUAUCACGGAGGAGAAUGCCAAUUGGUUACAAAUACCAUUUAGGGAAUAUGAAAUUAGGGAGGUGGUAUUCAAUAUGAAUGAUGAUAAGGCCCCAUGAACAAACAAUUUCUUUUUUGCAUUUUAUAAGGCUUGUUGGGAGGUGUUGUGAUCGGAUAUUAUGGAUGUUCUUACAUGUUUUUUUUUAGUGUGGUAUGUUCCUAAGAAAUUCUAAUGCUACAUUUAUUCUGCUGAUUCCCAAGAAAUUGGGAGUGGUUGACAUUAAGAAUUUUUUCCUUAUUAGCUUAGUCAGUAGGGUAUACAAGAUUAUUGCGAAGAUUUUGACGAAUAGAUUAAAAGAGGUGUUGGGGAAAGUGGUGUCUAAGUUUUAGAAUGCUUUUGUGAAAGGGCGCAGAUCGUGGAUUCUAUGCUUAUAGCGAAUGAAUGCAUUGACUCAAGAUUGCAACUGGGAGUCCAGGGAUGUUAUCUAAGCUCGAUAUUCAGAAAGCUCGUUUUCAAUUUUAGUCAACAGCUACCCGGAGGGUUAUAUUUGGAGCUGCAGAAGUUUGAAACAACAAAAUGGAAGCAUUUAGUAGGAUGUUUGAGAAAGUUGUGGAGAGGGUUUGAUAAGGAGCUUUACGGUUGGUCACAUACAGGUUUCUAAUUUGCCAUUUGUAGAUGAUACACUGAUUUUAUGCGACGCCGAUGAUGAGCAAUUUAGGAACUUCAUCGAUUGUUUCUAUGUUUUGAAGUGGUGUUGGGAUUGAAGAUAAAUCUAGGGAAAUCUGAGGCUAUUCAAAUGGGAGGGGUUGCUAAUGUGGAGAAGUUGGCCGCUAUAUUGGGUUAUAGGGUUGAGCAACUGUUAAUGUCAUAUCUUGGGCUCCCUUUUGGGAUAAGGUUUAAAAGUAAACAUAUUUGGAAUGAAAUUAUGGAAAUGAUGGAGAGGAGAUUAGCGGGGUGGAAGCAUAUGUACCUUUUGAAGGAAGGCUGCUUUACUCUCAUUAAAUCCACCCUCUUUAAUCUCUCCACUUAUUUUUUGUUAUUGUUUUUUAUUUCUGUUGCAGUGGCAAAUAAAAUAGAGAUGAUUCAAAAGAUGUUUCUUUGGAUAGGAUUGGGAAAAAGAGGAAUUUUCAUUUGGUUAAUUGGGAUGUUAUUUAUUAUCCUAUAAGGACGGGGAGCUUAGAUUGAAAAGCCUUAUUUUGUUUAAUAAGGCUUCAUUAGGCAAGUGGCUGUAGCGAUUUAGAAUGGUGGGGGAGAAUUUUUGAAGAGAAAUUAUAGGAGCAAAGUAUGGUGUGAUGAAGUGGGGUUGGUGCUCAAUCGAAGGUCGUGGAUCUUAUUAGGCGAUUUUGUGAUAGUAUAUACAAUGAGGAUGGAAUGACUUUCGAGAUUAAUUAACUUAUGUAGUGGAAAAUGGUAAUAAAUCAUAUUUUGGGAUGAUUGUUGGUGUGAAAAUCAACCGCUAAAGAUAUUUUCUUUUUUGCAUCGAAUUGCUUUGGAGCCUUCUGCUAUGGUAAAUGAUGUAUUAACCAUACACAGUGGAAGUUAUAACACUAUUUUUUAGAGGGGUUUAUAGGAUUGGAAAUUAGAUGAUUAUACGCUAUUUUUGCCCUCCUUGCACGAGGCGCACAUCCGAGGUAGUAGAAGGUUGUAGCAGGUAAAAGUUGGCACAGGAUGUUAUUUUUUCAAUUCGCACUUAUUUUAUACCCAUGUUUGAACCUUUAAAGAGUUCAUUCCCCUAGAAGAUGGAGCGAAAAUAUAAAUUGCCUUCUUGGGUGACAUUUUUAUUAUGGAUAGUUGUGAGGAGGCAAGCAUUAAUGAUGAAUAAUCUUCGAAAAAAAUGUUUUUUCAUAUUACCAAGUGGUGUCUAUGUGUAAGAGGAAUGGAUAGACGGUUGACCAUUAAUUUAAUCAUUGUGAUGAUGUUCGUUGACUGUGGAACAGUAUUCUGACUUCUCAACGUAUAGAUUGAGUGUUGCCUAGGCAUAUAAAAGACAUGUUGCGAGCAUGAAGGAGAAAAUUUCGUGAUAAAGACAUUAAGUUUGCAUGGGAUCUUAUUAUAGAAUACAUCGUAUAGUGUGUGUGUGUGUGUGCGCGCGCGGGUAGAAGGAAUAGUUGUUGUUUUGAAGACCAAAUACAGACAACAGAGCGAAAAAAAAAAUUUAUUUUAUUUAACUUUGUAUACUUGGUUUAAUCCUGCAGUUAAUAAUCAUAUAAAAUGGUUGCCUAACUUUAUGUCGUUUCAUUCUUGUUUAAAUUGAUAAUUCACUUUCCGUGUAUUAUCCUUUGAUUUAUAAAUUAUCUAAUCACCUAUUAAAAAAAUAAAAACCUAGUAAUUUUGAUCUUCUAUUGUAUGAACAGUUUGUUAAACUGGUAUUAGAAUUACAUUUCAGAAGCUGUUUAUAUAACACUAUUUAAGAUUUUCUUUCGUUAUAGAAAUAAUUAUAUUAAAAU
rnacentral:lncRNA from 1 species